rnacentral:rRNA from 1 species
AGUGAACGCUGGCGGUAUGCCUAACACAUGCAAGUCGAACGGCAGCACAGUAAGAUCUUGCUCUUACGGGUGGCGAGUGGCGGACGGGUGAGGAAUACAUCGGAAUCUACUUUUUCGUGGGUGAUAACGUAGGGAAACUUACGCUAAUACCGCAUACGACCUACGGGUGAAAGCAGGGGAUCUUCGGACCUUGCGCGAUUGAAUGAGCCGAUGUCGGAUUAGCUAGUUGGCGGGGUAAAGGCCCACCAAGGCGACGAUCCGUAGCUGGUCUGAGAGGAUGAUCAGCCACACUGGAACUGAGACACGGUCCAGACUCCUACGGGAGGCAGCAGUGGGGAAUAUUGGACAAUGGGCGAAAGCCUGACCCAGCAAUACCGCGUGGGUGAAGAAGGCCUUCGGGUUGUAAAGCCCUUUUGUUGGGAAAGAAAAGAAGCAGGUUAAUCCACCGCUGUUCUGACGGUACCCAAAGAAUAAGCACCGGCUAACUUCGUG